GGCUCAGAUUGAACGCUGGCGGCAUGCCUUACACAUGCAAGUCGAACGGCAGCACGGGACUUCGGUCUGGUGGCGAGUGGCGAACGGGUGAGUAAUGUAUCGGAACGUACCUUUCAGUGGGGGAUAACGUAGCGAAAGUUACGCUAAUACCGCAUAUUCUGUGAGCAGGAAAGCAGGGGAUCGCAAGACCUUGCGCUGAUUGAGCGGCCGAUAUCAGAUUAGCUAGUUGGUGAGGUAAAGGCUCACCAAGGCGACGAUCUGUAGCGGGGUCUGAGAGGAUGAUCCGCCACACUGGAACUGAGACACGGUCCAGACUCCUACGGGAGGCAGCAGUGGGGAAUUUUGGACAAUGGGGGCAACCCUGAUCCAGCCAUGCCGCGUGAGUGAAGAAGGCCUUCGGGUUGUAAAGCUCUUUCGGCCGGGAAGAAAUCGCAUGGGCUAAUACCCUGUGCGGAUGACGGUACCGGCAUAAGAAGCACCGGCUAACUACGUG
rnacentral:rRNA from 1 species